UAUUCUGCCCCACGGGGAAGGAUGAGAAGCUUCGACUAAGGUUCGACUCGAGCGAAGCGAGAGAACGUUGCCGCAGGCAACGGCCCGAAGGGCGAGGAGCGAUAGCGACGAGUUAUCCUUCCCCCCACCACCA
rnacentral:sRNA from 1 species